rnacentral:rRNA from 1 species
UCGCUACUACCGAUUGAAUGGCUUAGUGAGCUUCAGGGACCGUUGUCGCUUGGGGGGUUUCCCCCAAAGCACUUCUGGAAACUGGAUCAAACUUGAUCAUUUAGAGGAAGUAA